AUGAACGCUGGCGGCGUGCUUAACACAUGCAAGUCGAACGGGAAACCUUUUAUUGAAGCUUCGGCAGAUUUAGCUGGUUUCUAGUGGCGGACGGGUGAGUAACGCGUGGGUAACCUGCCUUAUACAGGGGGAUAACAACCAGAAAUGGUUGCUAAUACCGCAUAAGCGCACAGGACCGCAUGGUCCGGUGUGAAAAACUCCGGUGGUAUAAGAUGGACCCGCGUUGGAUUAGCUAGUUGGCAGGGUAACGGCCUACCAAGGCGACGAUCCAUAGCCGGCCGGAGAGGGUGAACGGCCACAUUGGGACUGCGACACGGCCCAGACUCCUACGGGAGGCAGCAGUGGGGAAUAUUGCACAAUGGGGGAAACCCUGAUGCAGCGACGCCGCGUGAAGGAAGAAGUAUCUCGGUAUGUAAACUUCUAUCAGCAGGGAAGAUAGUGACGGUACCUGACUAAGAAGCCCCGGCUAACUACGUG
rnacentral:rRNA from 1 species